rnacentral:rRNA from 1 species
GACAGAGGGUGCAAACGUUGUUCGGAAUUACUGGGCGUAAAGCGAGUGUAGGCGGUUCGCUAAGUCGGAUGUGAAAGCCCUGGGCUCAACCCAGGAAGUGCACUCGAAACUGGCGAGCUAGAGUACUGGAGAGGUUGGUGGAAUUCUCGGUGUAGAGGUGAAAUUCGUAGAUAUCGAGAGGAACACCAGUGGCGAAGGCGGCUCACUGGACCGGUAUUGACGCUGAGGUGCGAAAGCGUGGGGAGCAAACAGG